GACGAACGCUGGCGGCGUGCUUAACACAUGCCAGUCGAACGAAGAGCGAUGGGAGCUUGUUUCUAUCAAUCUUAGUGGCGAACGGGUGAGUAACGCGUAAUCAACCUGCCCUUCAGAGGGGGACAACAGUUGGAAACGACUGCUAAUACCGCAUACGAUCUAAUCUCGGCAUCGAGGAUAGAUGAAAGGUGGCCUCUACAUGUAAGCUAUCACUGAAGGAGGGGAUUGCGUCUGAUUAGCUAGUUGGAGGGGUAACGGCCCACCAAGGCGAUGAUCAGUAGCCGGUCUGAGAGGAUGAACGGCCACAUUGGGACUGAGACACGGCCCAGACUCCUACGGGAGGCAGCAGUGGGGAAUCUUCCGCAAUGGACGAAAGUCUGACGGAGCAACGCCGCGUGAGUGAUGACGGCCUUCGGGUUGUAAAGCUCUGUUAAUCGGGACGAAAGGCCUUCUUGCGAACAGUUAGAAGGAUUGACGGUACCGGAAUAGAAAGCCACGGCUAACUACGUG
rnacentral:rRNA from 1 species